CCUACGGGUGGCUGCAGUGAGGAAUAUUGGUCAAUGGGCGUAAGCCUGAACCAGCCAAGUCGCGUGAGGGAGGAAGGUUCUAUGGAUUGUAAAAGGAGGUUAGAAGGGAAUAAAGUGUGGGACGUGUCCUAUUUUGUAUGUACCUUAUGAAUAAGGAUCGGCUAACUCCGUGCCAGCAGCCGCGGUAAUACGGAGGAUCCGAGCGUUAUCCGGAUUUAUUGGGUUUAAAGGGUGCGUAGGCGGCCUUUUAAGUCAGCGGUGAAAGUCUGUGGCUCAACCAUAGAAUUGCCGUUGAAACUGGGUGGCUUGAGUAUGUUUGAGGCAGGCGGAAUGCGUGGUGUAGCGGUGCAAUGCUUAGAUAUCACGCAGAACCCCGAGUGCGAAGGCAGCCUGCCAAGCCAUGACUGACGCUGAUGCACGAAAGCGUGGGGAUCAAACAGGAUUAGAUACCCUGGUAGUC
rnacentral:rRNA from 1 species